UGGACUUGAGGUGUGUGUGAGCUGGAAUUCAGCCCCCCAUUUAAAAGCCAGGCCUGCUCCAGAGGCCCCUCUGGCACUGCAGCAGGUCCCGGGGGCCUUUCAGACGCCGGCUCCCUCCGGAGCCUGUUCCCAUGGCGCCCCUUAGAGGGAGGAGCCUGAAGCACGCCCCAGGCUGCCAGCUGCUUCCGCCCACCUUUCCCGUGGCAGAGAUUCCUUCCCACGUUGUGACUCAGGCUGUGUAACCCAGGCCUCUGCAGCCUUCUCUGAAAUUCCAAUGCAGCCAAAGGGCAGAUAACAUUUUACAGAUAAAAUACUCAACCCUGGGGUAAGGCCCCCACGCACCAGUACUCCUUCUGACCUAACACCCAGGCCAAAGCUAUGUCAGGAUCUGUCUUGUUCCUUUCAGCCGUGGCCACUCCUUCCUAUUGGCAAAUUCUCAAGAGACCCUCUCCUCAUGCCUUCUUCCACUGCCUCUUCGCAGAACCCUUGGGGGAGCCCAAGGAGACCCGCGUCCUAAGGGGCUGAGAAACUCCUAGAAGACCGACUGCCUAGCCUAGUCUUCCCAGUGUGGGUGGCUCCAAAGUCCUGGGUCAGACCAGUGCAACCCCAUUAUGUGCAGCAUGAAACUAAUCCCCAACAAAAGAUUAAAAAGAAGCCACGAGAUCCAACAAAUGCAAAGGCUGAUUGGAAUGGAAUUGAAGGUUGGUCCUGGCCACAGCCCUGCCUCUGUCAAGCAGGUGUCACACCCAAGUCCCCAGAUCCCCUCUC
rnacentral:lncRNA from 1 species